rnacentral:rRNA from 1 species
GAUGAACGCUGGCGGCGUGCCUAAUACAUGCAAGUAGAACGCUGAAGGAGGAGCUUGCUCUUCUGGAUGAGUUGCGAACGGGUGAGUAACGCGUAGGUAACCUGCCUGGUAGCGGGGGAUAACUAUUGGAAACGAUAGCUAAUACCGCAUGACAACAGUUAUUGCAUGAUAACUGUUUAAAAGGGGCAACUGCUCCACUACCAGAUGGACCUGCGUUGUAUUAGCUAGUUGGUGAGGUAACGGCUCACCAAGGCGACGAUACAUAGCCGACCUGAGAGGGGGAUCGGCCACACUGGGACUGAGACACGGCCCAGACUCCUACGGGAGGCAGCAGUAGGGAAUCUUCGGCAAUGGACGGAAGUCUGACCGAGCAACGCCGCGUGAGUGAAGAAGGUUUUCGGAUCGUAAAGCUCUGUUGUAAGAGAAGAACGAGUGUGAGAGUGGAAAGUUCACACUGUGACGGUAUCUUGCCAGAAAGGGACGGCUAACUACGUG